UGGGGAAUUUUGGACAAUGGGCGAAAGCCUGAUCCAGCAAUGCCGCGUGUGUGAAGAAGGCCUUCGGGUUGUAAAGCACUUUUGUCCGGAAAGAAAUCCUUGGCUCUAAUACAGUCGGGGGAUGACGGUACCGGAAGAAUAAGCACCGGCUAACUACGUGCCAGCAGCCGCGGUAAUACGUAGGGUGCAAGCGUUAAUCGGAAUUACUGGGCGUAAAGCGUGCGCAGGCGGUUUGCUAAGACCGAUGUGAAAUCCCCGGGCUCAACCUGGGAACUGCAUUGGUGACUGGCAGACUAGAGUAUGGCAGAGGGGGGUAGAAUUCCACGUGUAGCAGUGAAAUGCGUAGAGAUGUGGAGGAAUACCGAUGGCGAAGGCAGCCCCCUGGGCCAAUACUGACGCUCAUGCACGAAAGCGUGGGGAGCAAACAGGAUUAGAUACCCUGGUAGUCCACGCCCUAAACGAUGUCAACUAGUUGUUGGGGAUUCAUUUCCUUAGUAACGUAGCUAACGCGUGAAGUUGACCGCCUGGGGAGUACGGUCGCAAGAUUAAAACUUAAAUGAAUUGACGGGGUCAUAGCUGUUUCCU
rnacentral:rRNA from 1 species